UGAAGUCUCGGAUGUUGCAGCUUCUUCUGCCCUUGAGGAAAACUUAGACAGUGUCAAGGAAGGAGUAGCCUCAGCAGCUCAAGAGAUUUCUGACACAUCCUCAAGGAGCCAGGACGUUGAUGCUGAGGAGUCGGGGCAAACUUCAGAAGUUUCUGUGGAGGAGAAGACACCUGAAGAAGUUGCUAAGGAACCCUAAAGUAAGCAGUGCCGAAGCCUUUGAAAAGUUUAAUGGAAAUGUUUGUGGCAAUCAACCAGCUGAUUCCUGUGUGAAACCUCAUACUCUUCCUUGGAGACAUAAAAGAAAUUGUGCAGUUUGUCAGACCCCACACUGCUCAUUAGGACCAGUAUUCAUUGCUGCAACAGACACCCUAAUACCAUUUAAGUUGGUUAGAGAGACGCUCCUGUGAUUAACAUCUCUGCUUUAGAAAGUAGCAUCCAGUAAUAACUGUCAAAGCACCACCCAGCAUGUAAUUAAUACACGUGCUAAGAGAAGCCGUAGACUUAACUGAAACCACAUCAGGUGAACUCAUUUUAGGUCUUUGUUGUCUCGUUAUGUACAUUGAUUUCUUAUUUUUGGUCCAAACUGUGGUGCAUAAUUACACCAUUGUAACAGUCCAUGCUAAAAUGUAAGUAAAAAGUUUUAACUAAGUUAAAAUCUUAUAAAAAUUACCUGUUAGUAUUUUUAAAUUGGGUCACGGGGAAAAUAACAACCUUGUUUGCUCCCAAGUUUGGAUUUGCAAUUGUAAGCAUAGGACAUUUUCUAUGUCUAAGAUCUAAUUUUCCUCCUGCAUAAACAUUUUAGAUACUACCCUUCCUUGCACAAUAAUAUCCAGGAGUAAACAUUUUUAAGGCUUCUGCUUUGAGAACAAAACCCGUUUGCAAGUAGUACUAAUAAGUGCUUUAUAGCAUGAAAAUCAAAAUAACAUCGGUUGAAGUUAUCAUCAUUGAUCAAAGUGGUGGCUCCUACCUUGGGGGUGCUGGGCCCCGUUCCUACCAAAACUUAUUCAGCUUGCUGUAGUCUUUCUGUGUUGUUCUGUCUUAGCAGUGACAUGCAGCAGUGGCGUGACAACACGGAGGUUUGAGAGAACACUCUUGUACAAAUCACGAGCAAUUUAGGCUAUGGUAAAGCUCCUCUCCGAGCGCUUGCAGAUGGCCAGCAAAAUCCCCGUGGAAGGCUGUGCCACAGCUGUUCAAACGGACAAGGAUUCUUAGGGACUAAUAAAGAACAGAAUAGCUAAAUAAUCUUGUCUUGUUAGUAUUAUCUUAAUAAUAAAAAAAAUCUCUAAUGAAUAAUGGGUUUGCAUGACACUGUUCUCCUAACCCUCCAUUGUGCUAUGGGCACGUGCAUGAGUGUGCACCUCCUACAAACUUUUUACUGAGACUCCCACCUCCUAAAAAAGCAUUACAGCCAUCACAGAAUGGCGAUAAUUCUAAACCAAGGCCAAAUAAGGUAUAUUAUACAUGCUUUAUAUAGGAAGUGUGAAUUAAAGGGUGUAUCUGACUGCUUUCUCUUCAAGCAGAACUUUGGAAAAAUGUUGAAAGGGAAAUUAUAGCAUUAUGACAUUCCUACCCAUGGCACAAAGCAACACAUGCUCCUUCCCCCAUCGUCAAGCAAAUUAUAAUAGUGUUCCAACAAAAAUGCAGCCUAUUGCCCUUGUACCUGCUUAGGAAUAACUGGAAUAAUGCAGAGGCAAAAUCAGGCUCCUGAGCUUCAAGCAGCCAUACCACAGCCUUCUGCUUAAAGGAUAAAGCCACUGUGAUUAAAAGCAAUUUUUGUAGACGAAGCUACUGGAAUAAAAGUCUUAGACUGAUAUUUUGUUGGAUGAGAGUCUAUCUUUAUUUAUCUGGUAGAUUAAACAUCCUAUGAUGGAUGCAUACUCUUAAAUGUUCCAUUUCCUCACUAAUUCCCAGUGAAAGA